rnacentral:rRNA from 1 species
UACAUGUGGGGCAAGCGUUGUUCGGAAUUACUGGGCAUAAAGGGUGCGCAGGCGGCCAAGUGUGUGAGGCGUGAAAGCCUGGAGCUUAACUCCAGAAUUGCACCUCAAACUACUUGGCUAGAGCAUUGGAGAGGGUAGCAGAAUUCAUGGUGUAGCAGUGAAAUGCGUAGAUAUCAUGAGGAAUACCAGAGGCAAAGGCGGCUACCUGGACAAUUGCUGACGCUCAGGCACGAAAGCGUGGGGAGCAAAAGGG